rnacentral:tRNA from 1 species
AUUUCUAUUUAUAUAGUUUAAGCAAAACAUUACAUUUUCAUUGUAAAAUUAAAUUCAUUUUUGUAA